AUUGAACGCUGGCGGCAGGCCUAACACAUGCAAGUCGAACGAGUGGCGGACGGGUGCGUACUGUUUGGGAAACUGCCUGAUGGAGGGGGAUAACUACUGGAAACGGUAGCGAAUACCGCAUACCAUCAGAUGUGCCCAGUCGGGAUUAGCUAGUCGGUGGGGUAACGGCUCACCUAGGCGACGAUCCAUAGCUGGUCUGAGAGGAUGAUCAGCCACACUGGAACUGAGACACGGUCCAGACUCCUACGGGAGGCAGCAGUGGGGAAUAUUGCACAAUGGGCGAAAGCCUGAUGCAGCAAUGCCGCGUGUAUGAAGAAGGCCUUCGGGUUGUAAAGUACUUUCAGCGGGGAGGCGUUACCCGCAGAAGAAGCACCGGCUAACUCCGUGCCAGCCGCCGCGGUAAUUC
rnacentral:rRNA from 1 species